ACGGAUUCGAAAAUAAAGAGACGAUUUUUCGUGACAAUUGUUCGAUUGUUUAUCAGGCGAGGACAACGCUCAUUCAUAUUCUAAUAGCGUGUAACGAUCGUCGAAUGAGUAAGAGAGAUGAGCGAUUGCGAUGACGACGAUGACGAGGGUGACAACGGGCUCGACGAAGACGAAAACGAAGACGUAGAAAUUGAAAGGGAACGAACCAAGGUACAGAAAGAAAGAAGAACAAAGGAUGGAGUUGGCUGGUUGUUGGUUGGUCGAUCAGAGAAAUAGAGACGGUAAACGAGAAGGAGAAAAAGAGGCCGAGAUAGAGACAGAGAGAGAGCAAGAGUGCGCGGCGAUAGAGAGGUAAAGAGAAGGAAGGAGAGCGAGAAGGGAGAUAUACGCGAAAUGGUAGCGAUCAAAAAGUAAGAACUCCUUUAACUGUUCGUGAACGACGCAUCGUCGAAAUAUGUUGUUCACCGUCGACUUUGAUUGCUCAUCGUCACGGCAAGAGGCCGAGAACCAACCGAGAAAACGUUGCCAAGCAUUACGGAGGCCAGGGGAGCGGAUCAGCUGUUCGCCUCGGCAAUGACAACAUUGGACACACGCACGACCCCCCCGUAGUGACUUUGACGCGCGUUUCAUAGCCAGUCCGUUUACUGUCAGACGAUGGAUUGACUUACCUCGAGCCUGGUGCGCCCGGAGUGUAUCAUCCUUUUGCGUCGCGUUAUUUUGCAAAGCUUACGGGAAUACCCGCACGAUUUUACAGAAAAAAUGUCGCGGCCGAGCGAGUAGCUACGCUUCACGAUAGAAA